rnacentral:rRNA from 1 species
UACGUAGGGUGCAAGCGUUGUCCGGAAUUAUUGGGCGUAAAGAGCUCGUAGGCGGCUUGUCGCGUCGGCUGUGAAAACCUGGGGCUCAACCCCGGGUCUGCAUUCGAUACGGGCUAGCUAGAGUGUGGUAGGGGAGAUCGGAAUUCCUGGUGUAGCGGUGAAAUGCGCAGAUAUCAGGAGGAACACCGGUGGCGAAGGCGGGUCUCUGGGCCGUUACUGACGCUGAGGAGCGAAAGCGUGGGGAGCGAACAGG